CCGAGAAGAACCAACGAAUGAAAUCCUCUUCUAACUAAGGAGGCGUAGAGUCGCGUGCGUGAAGUAGAAGGCAUGGCACGUACUUCACGGCAUCUUACUACGGGUACCAAACCUGCCCAAAGUCGAGGCCGCGCGUAAAAUUUAACAUUUAUACAUCUUUUCUUCGGAUGUAAUAUCUUCCUUUGAUUCCGUCUUCCUUCGAUAUAAAAAAAAGAUUUUUAUCUAUGAUAUCUUGAGACCAGCAAUGGAAUUUUCCAGAAGCUAAAUUAAACAAUCGGAUUAAUUUGACAAUAUGUUUUUAUCGAUUAUAAAAGAAAAAAAAGAGAAGAUAUAAAUUAAAUAUUGAGGUUUACCUUAAGAUCCCAAACUACCAAUUGACCGUCUAAACCACUCGUGCUAAAUUCGUUAUCUGAUACUUUGCGUACACAAUUAAUUGUGUUUUGAUGAAUACUAUCCAAGGCAUUGUCAUUCGUAUCAGUUCUCGCUUGGCGAUCUAACGAUUGAAAUUUACGCAUGGCAGACAAACCGGCAGCUUCUUUUUUUUGUGUAUUAUCUAGUUUUGAUACAAAAUAUAGUUGACCAUGGUCGUCUAUGGAAUAUAACAUAGGCAUACAACUAUGUCCCUAAAAAAGCCAAUUAAAUUAUAUUUAAUGUUUAUUGUAAUAUGUAAUAUAAAAUUAUCAAAUUAUUAUUUAUUAAAUGUAAAAAAAAAAUAUAA